rnacentral:rRNA from 1 species
GUGCCAGCCGCCGCGGUAAGACGAACCGUGCUAACGUUGUUCGGAAUCACUGGGCUUAAAGGGCGCGUAGGCGGAUGACCAAGUCAGGGGUGAAAUCCUUCGGCUCAACCGGAGAACUGCCUUUGAUACUGGUCGUCUGGAGUGAGGUAGGGGCAUGCGGAACUUCCGGUGGAGCGGUGAAAUGCACAGAUAUCGGAAGGAACACCGGUGGCGAAGGCGGCGUGCUGGACCUCAACUGACGCUGAGGCGCGAAAGCCAGGGGAGCAAACGGGAUUAGAUACCCCGGUAGUCCUGGCCCUAAACGAUGGGUACUGGAUUGUAGGCUAAUCAUGGGUUUACAAUCGAAGCAAAAGUGUUAAGUACCCCGCCUGGGGAGUAUGGUCGCAAGGCUGAA